CACCCAGGCUGGAGUGUAGUGGCACGAUCCUGGCUCACUACAUCCUCCACCUCCCAGGUUCAAGCGAUUCUCCCAUUUCAGCCUCCCAAUAGCUGGGAUUACAGGCACCCGCCACCACGCCUGCCUAAUUUUUGUAUUUUUAGUAGAGAUUGGGGGGGUUCACCGUAUUGUUCAGGCUGAUCUCGAACUCCUGAGCUAAAGUGAUCUGCUUGCCUUGGCCUCCCAAAGUCCUGGGAUUAUAGGUGUGAACCACUGCACUCGGCCAAUUUUUAAUAUUUUUAAUAAGAAUUAUAUACGGGAAGCUGCCAGGCUCUAAUUUCAAGGAGUGCAUAUUAGCUCUUCUCCAUGUAAAGGGUCUUUCUCUUUUCCCUGUUUAGUGGAGAAAUUUUGAAUGUGGAAAAUAUAACAUAUGCAUACAAAUAUAUGAAAUAAAACUCAUGAAAAAAAGAAAAUAUAUACACGAAGAUCAGAAUAGUGGUCUCUUUCACCCUGAAGAGUGGGAAACGAAGUGAGGAAGGAGCAUAUAGAGAGACGGCCUGCUUCUGAAGAGUGGGCAAGCAGGACCAUGGGCCUACAGUCCUGCUAUCAGAAGAAGUUCUCAUGGACCCUGGAACACCUGUGAUGGGGCUCAGGAGCCUCUCCACCAGAGCUGCCUAGAGCCCUACUCCUUCCCCACCAGCCUGACCACCACACUCACCUCUUUCACCCUUCACUUCCAACCCCUCCAAUUGCCCUUACAAGGUCCUAUAGCAGCUAGUCCCUCCCCACCUCUCGGCCUCACCUCUGGCCUCUUCUGGCCCUUGACAAAGAUUCUUUGCUUGACCAAACUUUAGUGAGCCUCCUGAUCCUUUCCUAGGCCCAUCUGUGCACUUCCUUGAAAAAUUCAGUUUUAACGAGGACCCUGCUAAGUCAGUUUAGCUAGAACCCCUCAACACCUUGCUAUCUGAUCAUCCCCAAUAUCUAACUGUGCUCCUCAUCCUCCACCAUCUAGGUGAUGUCCAAUGACCCUGUCCUGUCUUCAGCAAGACUCGGUUAGGGGGUUUAGCCAGAAUCCCCCUUAUUCUUUACGUUUACUCUUAGUAAUUAUCUGUCACUGACCCCCACUCUGCUUCUUGGCUAUGCAUUCCCACCUGGCCGUGCCAUAUUCCGAGUUGAGCCCAAUCUCUAUCCACCCCGCA
rnacentral:lncRNA from 10 species